AACUGCCUCGGUCAGAGGUUCCAUGUUAACCAGUCAAACUGCCUCGGUCAGAGGUUCCAUGUUAACCAGACAAACUGCCUCGGUCAGAGGUUCCAUGUUAACCAGUCAAACUGCCACGGUCAGAGGUUCCAUGUUAACCAGUCAAACUGCCUCGGUCAGAGGUUCCAUGUUAACCAGUCAAACUGCCACGGUCAGAGGUUCCAUCCAUGUUAACCAGUCAAACUGCCUCGGUCAGAGGUUCCAUCCAUGUUAACCAGUCAAACUGCCUCGGUCAGAGGUUCCAUGUUAACCAGUCAAACUGCCACGGUCAGAGGUUCCAUCCAUGUUAACCAGUCAAACUGCCUCGGUCAGAGGUUCCAUGUUAACUAGUCAAACUGCCUCGGUCAGAGGUUCCAUGUUAACCAGUCAAACUGCCUCGGUCAGAGGUUCCAUGUUAACCAGUCAAACUGCCUCGGUCAGAGGUUCCAUGUUAACCAGUCAAACUGCCUCGGUCAGAGGUUCCAUGUUAACCAGUCAAACUGCCACGGUCAGAGGUUCCAUGUUAACCAGUCAAACUGCCACGGUCAGAGGUUCCAUCCAUGUUAACCAGUCAAACUGCCACGGUCAGAGGUUCCAUGUUAACCAGUCAAACUGCCACGGUCAGAGGUUCCAUCCAUGUUAACCAGUCAAACUGCCUCGGUCAGAGGUUCCAUGUUAACCAGUCAAACUGCCUCGGUCAGAGGUUCCAUGUUAACCAGUCAAACUGCCUCGGUCAGAGGUUCCAUGUUAACCAGUCAAACUGCCUCGGUCAGAGGUUCCAUCCAUGUUAACCAGUCAAACUGCCUCGGUCAGAGGUUCCAUGUUAACCAGUCAAACUGCCUCGGUCAGAGGUUCCAUGUUAACCAGUCAAACUGCCUCGGUCAGAGGUUCCAUGUUAACCAGUCAAACUGUCUCGGUCAGA